rnacentral:rRNA from 1 species
UACGUAGGGGCAAGCGUUGUCCGGAUUUAUUGGGCGUAAAGAGCUCGUAGGCGGUUUGGUAAGUCAGGUGUGAAAUCUCCACGCUCACGUGGAGGGCCACCUGAUACUGCCAUGACUGGAGUCCGGUAGAGGAGUGUGGAAUUCCUGGUGUAGCGGUGAAAUGCGCAGAUAUCAGGAGAACACCGGUGGCGAAGGCGCCGCUCUGGGCCGGUACUGACGCUGAGGAGCGAAAGCGUGGGUAGCAAACAGG